GGAAACCUUUACCUUUACUUAAAGAUACUAGAUCCUGUCUGAUGUCCGAAGCUAAGCAGGAUCAACUCUGGGUAGUACUUGGAUGGGAGACCAACAACGAAUUGCAGGUGCUGUAGACU
rnacentral:rRNA from 1 species